rnacentral:rRNA from 1 species
ACGGGUGAGUAACACGUGGGCAAUCUGCCCUUCACUCUGGGACAAGCCCUGGAAACGGGGUCUAAUACCGGAUAACACUCUGUCCCGCAUGGGACGGGGUUAAAAGCUCCGGCGGUGAAGGAUGAGCCCGCGGCCUAUCAGCUAGUUGGUGGGGUGAUGGCCUACCAAGGCGACGACGGGUAGCCGGCCUGAGAGGGCGACCGGCCACACUGGGACUGAGACACGGCCCAGACUCCUACGGGAGGCAGCAGUGGGGAAUAUUGCACAAUGGGCGAAAGCCUGAUGCAGCGACGCCGCGUGAGGGAUGACGGCCUUCGGGUUGUAAACCUCUUUCAGCAGGGAAGAAGCGAAAGUGACGGUACCUGCAGAAGAAGCGCCGGCUAACUACGUGCCAGCAGCCGCGGUAAUACGUAGGGCGCAAGCGUUGUCCGGAAUUAUUGGGCGUAAAGAGCUCGUAGGCGGCUUGUCACGUCGGAUGUGAAAGCCCGGGGCUUAACCCCGGGUCUGCAUUCGAUACGGGCUAGCUAGAGUGUGGUAGGGGAGAUCGGAAUUCCUGGUGUAGCGGUGAAAUGCGCAGAUAUCAGGAGGAACACCGGUGGCGAAGGCGGAUCUCUGGGCCAUUACUGACGCUGAGGAGCGAAAGCGUGGGGAGCGAACAGGAUUAGAUACCCUGGUAGUCCACGCCGUAAACGUUGGGAACUAGGUGUUGGCGACAUUCCACGUCGUCGGUGCCGCAGCUAACGCAUUAAGUUCCCCGCCUGGGGAGUACGGCCGCAAGGCUAAACUCAAGGAAUUGACGGG